rnacentral:lncRNA from 1 species
UGGGGGCAGGAGGAGAGAGGGAGAAUCAGUUCAAUAGAAGGAAAGGAGCUAUUUGAUUUCUGAGUCCACUACAAUGAAGAAAAUGGAGGCUCUUGCCUAAGAUCAUGAGACAGAGAAGAGUCUUGACAACAUUCAACAAAUACUCAGCGUGAUGACAAGUCUGCUGUUCCCUGUUAUAGAUGAUGUCUCAUGGGACUGAGUAACGGGCUAAGAUUGCCCAAUCGGCACGGAAACAGAAAGAGCUGUGUGGCCAGGACUGUCUGAUGGACUGCAACCUUCCUUUGAGGGCUGCAUUUACCCACGGUGAAUACAUAGCUUACUCGACCUCCUUCCUCCCUCUGCUCUUUUGCUAGUGUUUGCCAACGGCAGACUCUUAACUGGAAGCCAGAAGGUAAGGGAGCUCACUGAUGAAGCCUGCACUGGUCAACUUUUUGGGCAUAGAG